GGGAUAGGUUCUAGUUAACAAUGCCUAUUUUAAGACCAUAGAACUGAGAAUCCUUGUGUCGGCGGUUCGAAUCCGCCCCUGCCCA
rnacentral:tRNA from 2 species